rnacentral:rRNA from 1 species
CAAUAGCGUAUAUUAAAGUUGUUGCAGUUAAAAAGCUCGUAGUUGGAUUUCUGGUGGGAGCGAUCGGUCUGGCGCUUAGCGCGAGUACUUGCAUCGUCUCCGGCCAUCCUUGGGGAGAGUCUGUCUGGCAUUAGGUUGUCGGGCAGAGGAUCCUCAUCGUUUACUGUGAAAAAUUAGAGUGUUCAAAGCAGGCUUAUGCCGUUGAAUAUAUUAGCAUGGAAUAAUAAGAUAGGACUUUGGUACUAUUCUGUUGGUUUGCGCACCAAAGUAAUGAUUAAUAGGGACAGUUGGGGGUAUUCGUAUUCCGUUGUCAGAGGUGAAAUUCUUGGAUUUACGGAAGACGAACUACUGCGAAAGCAUUUACCAAGGAUGUUUUCAUUAA